rnacentral:lncRNA from 1 species
CGUCCUCCAUCCUCCGUUCUUCAUCCUCCGUCCUCCAUCCCCCAUCCUCCGUCCUUCAUCCUCCGUCCUUCAUCCUUCGUCCUCCGUCCUCAUCUCUUCAUCCUCCGUCCUCCAUCCCCCAUCCUCCGUCCUUCAUCCUUCGUCCUCCUUUCCUUCAUCCUCCGUCCUCCAUUCUUCAUCCUCCGUCCUCCUUUCUUCAUCCUCCGUCCUCCAUCCCCCAUCCUCCAUUCUUCAUCCUCCGUCCUCCUUUCUUCAUCCUCCGUCCUCCGUCCUCUGUCCUCGGUCCUCCGUCCUCCAUUCUUCAUCCUCCAUCCUCCAUCCUCCUUCGCCUCCUACGCCCUCCUUUCUUCAUCCUCCGUCCUCCGUCCUCUGUCCUCCGUCCUCCAUCCUCCAUUCUUCAUCCUCCGUCCUUCAUCCUCCAUCCUCCGUCCUUCUUCCUCUGUCCUCCAUCCUCCGUUCUUCAUCCUCCAUCCUCCGUCCUUCUUCCUCCGUCCUUCAUCCUCCAUCCUCCGUCCAUCUUCCUCUGUCCUCCAUCCUCCGUUCUUCAUCCUCCUUCCUCCGUCCUCUCCUCCGUCCUCCUUCCUCCGUCAUCCUUCCUUCGUCCUCCUUCCUCCGUCCGUCCUUCGUCCUCUGUCCAUCAUCCUCCGUCCUUCAUCCUCCAUCCUCCGUCCUCUGUCCUUCAUCCUCCGUCAUCCAUCCUCCUUCCUCCGUCCUUCGUCCUCCUUCCUCCUCCUUCCUCCGUCCUCCGUCCUCCUUCCUCCUCCUCCUUCCUCCUUCCUCCGUCCUCCGUCCUCCGUCCUUCGUCCUCAAUCCUCCGUCCUCCUCCCUGAAUCGUCCCUCUCUGAAACGUCUCGGUUGUGGAAAUGAGUAGAUUUUGAAUCAUAAACAGUUUUUCUUCCUGGCGAGCGAGGAACAUUAACACGAUCCCCCUGAAGCGUGACAGAGACGUUUAGUCCUCCAACAGAUAAAGCAGCUUUUUAAAUUUGCAAUCAGACGCCAAAUUGUCCUCCAAAGUGUUAUCGCACGAGUUGGUUUUCAUUACAGUUUCCCCUCAAAGUGCCUUAUUUGGUGCAAUGUAUUUUUUGUUUUGUGGAGAUAAUGUUUGGCGUUGAUUAAAAGACCUGACCCCCCGUGUACCUGCGCCUCCAGCUCCGCUCGCAGCAUCGUUCCAUCUCACUGCUUUUCACAGGAACACUGUAUGUGAACGGGCGCAAUAUUUGCCAGUGGGAACCAAUCAAUUAA